AUGUAUGAGCAACAGUUACUUCCCCUGAGCAGUACAAGAAAGUGAGUAGCAAGGUGCGAGGGGGUCGGUGUAGCAAACGGUCAAUAUUUAUAAACCGAAAGGCGUUUACUUUAUACAUGCAUUUAGGGUGAAAUAGAAAUGUAGGAUUAGAAAACAAGUCAUAAAUUAAUAUCAUCUGCAAGUCGGCUUUCGCAUGCAUGUUGUGGACAUAACAGAUUGGCUCUCAAACUGCCAUUUAGAGCACGUUCAUAGUUAUUGAAAACAUCAACAAGGGACCUUAAGGAUCAAUUGAAGCUACUUCCGUUUAAUAUACCUGUGCAAGAAAUGGGCGUCUCUAGUUCAAAAAGUUCUGGAAGCAGCUCAGGUAAAAAUGCAGGAGAAUGGACAUAUAAAGUAUACUUUGAUCACGAAGCUGACCAAAGAUCUGGACAAAGUUAUACAAUUUCAGAAGAGGAGUUGAUGGAAAAACUGCCAAACCUUGUCGAUGCCGACGAACAUAUAAUUAAUAUACGGGCAUAUAAGCAAAAUCUGUAUUCAUGGCAAUUAACUAAUUUCAUUUUAUACCACAUUUAUAUAGUAUUCAAAACGAAAGAUUGGUGGUGGUCUAUUGAAAAGAACUCCGAAGGCAUCACUAUUCAACGAAGUAAACAUCGCUGGGCUGUUCGUCAAAAUUACAGACGCAAAGCAAGGUAUGAACGUACUCUUAUAAAUGAGGAUAAAGGAAAGAAGACAAUGAAAGAACAAAUAGAAUGGCUUUACGAAGAAAAUGAACUUAACAAAAAGUAUGGUUUUAUCUCCAGCAACUGUAAACAUUUUGCGAAAGCUGUCUUUGACCAUGUGGCCGCAACAGAAUGUUUGUAGUAUGGCGCAUCUUUUUGUCUACAUUGCUUAGUUAUCUUAUUUCGAUAUUUACAGUCAUAUAAGGAAUCGAAAAUAGGAUAUAAAUUGAUUAUUACAUGUAUGUUUGACGACAAGUUAUGAUUACUUACAGACCUGGAUAGCUCGCAUAAUUAGAAACAUCAUCUGUAUAAAAAAAAUCAUAGACCAUAUGGAUUGACAUCGCAGAAAAUAUGGGGAAAAGUUAAUCCGCGUCACCUUUAACAUAUUUUGUUUUAAUUAUAUACUUUUCAAUGCAAGUGACGUUUGAAAAAUGGCCAAGAGCAGCAAUCUUUAAUAUUAAAAUUCUAUUGAUGAUCAUUUUAAUUCUUUCUAAUGUCAGUGAAACUUUCUUGUGUAAUAUAAGGAACAUUUUAGCUAUACAAACUGAUCUUGUGAAUCGGAUUGUACAGAGAACAUUCAAAGUCUGAUGAAAAAAGUAUAGUUUAGUCAAAAUGUACUGUCGUAAUUCCAAUGAAUUUGACGACUGCCAAGUUAUUUAUUUACUAAAAUGAUUGGUGCAAAAAGCGGGGAAGACCCUUACAAUUAUUUUAGAAAGAAUUCUAGAGAGGGAAGAAGUAAAGAGAUAAAAUAUAUUACGGAUGAUUUUGUUAAGUGUAUUAUCGCCCAUGUCUAAGCUCUAUUUUUUCAGCAUUGGAUAUUCAACACUUAAUUAUUGAAAUAAAUUAUCCCCAAGGUCAAAUACGAAUAUUUCAAAACUGAUAUUUAAGAAAAAAAGCAGAUAGAAGAACAUCAGCAUAAUGUGCAGUGAGGUAACACGGCAGAUUACAUAAUAUAAUCAAGACAAAAUGAAAAAUGCUUGAAAGGUAUAAUUAAGCAAAUAUUUUUCUAAUCAUUUUUGUUUACCAUUUAGUAUAUCUGGUCGUGCAUAUUGGAUACAUUUCAAAUAAUUUAACCUUACUUUCAUUAAGUCAAUAAAACAAGAUGAGUAUGUUCAUUCUUUCAUAUUUAUAAUUAUUAAUUCAGUACCUAAUAGCUCGGGUUAAGCACUCAACCAAAAUCUCGAUAUACCUUUUCACUGCCAAGUUAUAACUUCCUACUUAUGUUGGAUGAGGUAAUUACAUGUCUAUGUAUAUCAAUUUACAUCUUCCCCUAUUAUUCGAAUGUAUAAUAAUACCAUCAAUGUUACAAUUUCAUUUUAAUAUUAGUUUUACUUAAUUACUUUCUUAUGCAAUUAUUUUAUAAUUUUCUUAUGUCAUCAUAAAAUGUAUUACUAUUCAUCUUUUACCAUUCAGUCUGCAAGAAAUAAAGUUGUGUUUAAAUUGA